CCCAGCUGUAGGCAAUUACCUAGGUUGUCUUGUGCCUAGCUAGUGUUACACACCUGGGAGAAAAGCAGCCAACAGCUGGCAGGCACUGAGGGCCUAAUUAAUGCCAAAUUU
ensembl:snoRNA SNORA74 Small nucleolar RNA SNORA74